GACGAACGCUGGCGGCGUGCCUAAUACAUGCAAGUAGAACGCUGAAGAGAGGAGCUUGCUCUUCUUGGAUGAGUUGCGAACGGGUGAGUAACGCGUAGGUAACCUGCCUUGUAGCGGGGGAUAACUAUUGGAAGCGAUAGCUAAUACCGCAUAACAAUGAAUGACACAUGUCAUUUAUUUGAAAGGGGCAAUUGCUCCACUACAAGAUGGACCUGCGUUGUAUUAGCUAGUUGGUGAGGUAACGGCUCACCAAGGCAACGAUGCAUAGCCGACCUGAGAGGGUGAUCGGCCACACUGGGACUGAGACACGGCCCAGACUCCUACGGGAGGCAGCAGUAGGGAAUCUUCGGCAAUGGGGGCAACCCUGACCGAGCAACGCCGCGUGAGUGAAGAAGGUUUUCGGAUCGUAAAGCUCUGUUGUAAGAGAAGAACGAGUGUGAGAGUGGAAAGUUCACACUGUGACGGUAACUUACCAGAAAGGGACGGCUAACUACGUGCCAGCAGCCGCGGUAAUACGUAGGUCCCGAGCGUUAUCCGGAUUUAUUGGGCGUAAAGCGAGCGCAGGCGGUUAGAUAAGUCUGAAGUUAAAGGCUGUGGCUUAACCAUAGUACGCUUUGGAAACUGUUUAACUUGAGUGCAGAAGGGGAGAGUGGAAUUCCAUGUGUAGCGGUGAAAUGCGUAGAUAUAUGGAGGAACACCGGUGGCGAAAGCGGCUCUCUGGUCUGUAACUGACGCUGAGGCUCGAAAGCGUGGGGAGCAAACAGG
rnacentral:rRNA from 1 species